AGUCGAGGGGCAGCACAGUGUAGCAAUACAUGGGUGGCGACCGGCAAACGGGUGCGGAACACGUACACAACCUUCCUUCAAAUGGGGAAUAGCCCAGGGAAACUUGGAUUAAUACCCCGUAACAUUAUGAAGUGGCAUCACUUUAUAAUUAUAGCUCCGGCGUUUGAAGAUGGGUGUGCGGCUGAUUAGGUAGUUGGCGGGGUAACGGCCCACCAAGCCUUCGAUCAGUAACUGGUGUGAGAGCACGACCAGUCACACGGGCACUGAGACACGGGCCCGACUCCUACGGGAGGCAGCAGUAAGGAAUAUUGGGCAAUGGACGCAAGUCUGACCCAGCCAUGCCGCGUGGAGGAUGAAGGUCCUCUGGAUUGUAAACUUCUUUUCUCUGGGGCGAAAAACAGGUUUUCUAACUUGCUUGACAGUACCAGAGGAAUAAGCACCAGCUAACUCCGUGCCAGCAGCCGCGGUAAUACGGAGGGUGCAAGCGUUAUCCGGAUUCACUGGGUUUAAAGGGUGCGUAGGUGGGUUGGUAAGUCAGUGGUGAAAUCUCCGGGCUUAACCUGGAAACUGCCAUUGAUACUAUCAAUCUUGAAUACCUUGGAGGUGAGCGGAAUAUGUCAUGUAGCGGUGAAAUGCUUAGAUAUGACAUAGAACACCAAUUGCGAAGGCAGCUCACUACACGGUCAUUGACACUGAGGCACGAAAGCGUGGGGAUCAAACAGGAUUAGAUACCCUGGUAGUCCACGCCCUAAACGAUGGAUACUCGACAUCAGCGAUACACUGUUGGUGUCUGAGCGAAAGCAUUAAGUAUCCY
rnacentral:rRNA from 1 species